rnacentral:rRNA from 1 species
GACGAACGCUGGCGGCGUGCUUAACACAUGCAAGUCGAACGGAAAGGCCCUGCUUUUGUGGGGUGCUCGAGUGGCGAACGGGUGAGUAACACGUGAGUAACCUGCCCUUGACUUUGGGAUAACUUCAGGAAACUGGGGCUAAUACCGGAUAGGAGCUCCUGCUGCAUGGUGGGGGUUGGAAAGUUUCGGCGGUUGGGGAUGGACUCGCGGCUUAUCAGCUUGUUGGUGGGGUAGUGGCUUACCAAGGCUUUGACGGGUAGCCGGCCUGAGAGGGUGACCGGCCACAUUGGGACUGAGAGACGGCGCAGACUCCUACGGGAGGCAGCAGUGGGGAAUAUUGCACAAUGGGCGGAAGCCUGAUGCAGCAACGCCGCGUGCGGGAUGAAGGCCUUCGGGUUGUAAACCGCUUUCGCCUGUGACGAAGCGUGAGUGACGGUAAUGGGUAAAGAAGCACCGGCUAACUACGUG